GUGUCCAGGUAUAUGUAAAUGCCGCUGUACACAGCAGUUGAGUUCUGUUUUCUGUUCGUCAUCAGACGGUGCCUGUUGGCGUUAGAAAAGUUUAUGAAAGCAGUGAAACAUUCAGAAGUAGCUGGUAGAAGCCACGACUUAAGAAGAAAAUGCCAACAAGAAAGUGAAUGAGUUUGAAUACAGAUUCAACAAAUGAUUGAAGGUUACUGCUGGCAUUAUCAAAGCAGUGAAAAAGACAAAAGUAGCGAAAAAGACAAAAGUAGCUGAUAGAAGCCACGACUUAAGAGUACCACACACCCGUGGGAAAUAAACUCUGGAUGGCUCAGAAGACCUCUCCGGGGCUCUGGACAGCUCAGGAGGACUCUCC